rnacentral:rRNA from 1 species
UACGAAGGGGGCUAGCGUUGCUCGGAAUCACUGGGCGUAAAGGGUGCGUAGGCGGGUCUUUAAGUCAGGGGUGAAAUCCUGGAGCUCAACUCCAGAACUGCCUUUGAUACUGAAGAUCUUGAGUUCGGGAGAGGUGAGUGGAACUGCGAGUGUAGAGGUGAAAUUCGUAGAUAUUCGGAAGAACACCAGUGGCGAAGGCGACACACUGGGCCAUUACUGACGCUGAGGCGCGAAAGCGUGGGGAGCAAACAGGG